AGCAGCCGCGGUAAUUCCAGCUCCAAUAGCGUAUAUUAAAGUUGUUGCAGUUAAAAAGCUCGUAGUUGAAUUUCGGGAUCAAUACGUCGGUCGUGCUUCGGUACGUACUGGCGUCAUUGAUUUCUCCCUUCUGACGAACCAUGAUGUCAUUAACUUGGUGUCAUGGGAAAUCAGGACUGUUACUUUGAAAAAAUUAGAGUGUUUAAAGCAGGCUCACGCUUGAAUACAUUAGCAUGGAAUAAUGAAAUAGGACGUUCGAUCCUAUUUUGUUGGUUUUUAGGAUCAACGUAAUGAUUAAUAGGGAUAGUUGGGGCAUUAGUAUUCAAUUGUCAGAGGUGAAAUUCUUGGAUUUAUUGAAGACUAACUACUGCGAGAGCAUUUGCCAAGGAUGUUUUCAUUAAUCAAGAACGAAAGUUAGGGGAUCGAAGACGAUCAGAUACCGUCGUAGUCUUAACCAUAAACUAUGCCGACUAGGGAUCGGAUGAUGUUAAUUUUUUAAUGACUCAUUCGGCGCCUUACG
rnacentral:rRNA from 1 species